rnacentral:rRNA from 1 species
UGUGGAAAAGCUAGAGCUAAUACAUGCUAAAAAUCCCGACUUCUGGAAGGGAUGUAUUUAUUAGAUAAAAAAUCAAUGCCUUCGGGCUCUUUGAUGAUUCAUAAUAACUUUUCGAAUCGCAUGGCUUCGUGCCGGCGAUGGUUCAUUCAAAUUUCUGCCCUAUCAACUUUCGAUGGUAGGAUAGUGGCCUACCAUGGUUUCAACGGGUGACGGGGAAUAAGGGUUCGAUUCCGGAGAGGGAGCCUGAGAAACGGCUACCACAUCCAAGGAAGGCAGCAGGCGCGCAAAUUACCCAAUCCUAAUUCAGGGAGGUAGUGACAAUAAAUAACGAUACAGGGCCCAUUGGGUCUUGUAAUUGGAAUGAGUACAAUUUAAAUACCUUAACGAGGAACAAUUGGAGGGCAAGUCUGGUGCCAGCAGCCGCGGUAAUUCCAGCUCCAAUAGCGUAUAUAAAAGUUGUUGCAGUUAAAAAGCUCGUAGUUGAACCUUGGGCUUGGUUGGCCGGUCCGCCUUACGGUGAGUACUGGACCCAACCGAGUCUUUCCUUCUGGGAAACCUUCUGCUCUUUCGGGUAGUUGGGGAACCAGGACUUUUACUUUGAAAAAAUUAGAGUGUUCAAAGCAGGCCUUUGCUCGAAUAUAUAAGCAUGGAAUAAUAGAAUAGGACGUUAUGGUUCUAUUUUGUUGGUUUCUAGGACCAUCGUAAUGAUUAAUAGGGACGGUCGGGGGCAUCAGUAUUCAAUUGUCAGAGGUGAAAUUCUUGGAUUUAUUGAAGACUAACUACUGC